rnacentral:rRNA from 1 species
CCUGCUCACUGAUAGAUAUAUUAAAGAGCUGCAGUAUUCUGACUGUGCUAAGGUAGCAUAAUAAUUAGGUUUUUAAUUAAAAUCUUGUAUGAAAGGGUAAACAAAAUUAAAACUAUUUUUAUUUAUAUAUUGAAUUUAAUUUUUAAGUUAAAAAUCUUAAAUAAAUUUAAAAGACGACAAGACCCUAUAAAGCUUUAUAUUUUAUAUAUUUUAAUUUUAAAUUUAUUAAAAUAAAUAUUAUAAUUAUUAAUAUUUUAUUGGGGAGAAUUAAAUUUAAUAUAAAUAACUUUUUUAUCAAAAAACAUAUAUAUAUGAUUGAUUUUAUAAUCCUUUAUAUAAGAAGUAAGAUUAAGUUACUUUAGGGAUAACAGCGUUAUUUUUUAGAAAGUACAUAUUUAAGAAAAUAAAUUGCGACCUCGAUGUUGAAUUAAAUUUAUAUGUGGAGCAACCCUUACAUG